GCAGGUUUACCCGAGUGGUUAUGGGGGAAAACUUAAGAUCUUUAGUACAGAAGUACGUGUGGCUUCGAACCCCACAGGCUGCA